GACGAACGCUGGCGGCGUACUUAACACAUGCAAGUCGAACGGAAAGGCCCUGCUUGCAGGGUACUCGAGUGGCGAACGGGUGAGUAACACGUGGGUGAUCUGCCCUGCACUUCGGGAUAAGCCUGGGAAACUGGGUCUAAUACCGGAUAGGAGCCAUUUUUAGUGUGAUGGUUGGAAAGUUUUUUCGGUGUAGGAUGAGCUCGCGGCCUAUCAGCUUGUUGGUGGGGUAAUGGCCUACCAAGGCGGCGACGGGUAGCCGGCCUGAGAGGGUGGACGGCCACAUUGGGACUGAGAGACGGCCCAGACUCCGACGGGAGGCAGCAGUGGGGAAUAUUGCACAAUGGGCGCAAGCCGGAUGCAGCGACGCCGCGUGGGGGAUGACGGCCUUCGGGUUGUAAACUCCUUUCGCUAGGGACGAAGCUUUUUGUGACGGUACCUAGAGAAGAAGCACCGGCUAACUACGUG
rnacentral:rRNA from 1 species